AGCCAUUCAAUGAGUAACUCCAGAAUCCUUUUUUGACCUUUUCUCUUUGAAGGAAGAACGUUUCCUUGAAUAAUUUCACCGUGCAGAUUACCGAGCGGAUGGUGUUCUUCUGCGUCGUGUAGGGUGGGCGGUUUAUGCGGUGCAGAAGCAGUUCCCUCGGCACGGUCGCCCAGGCAGGGAGCAGCGGGUGUCAGAGCCGGUACCCCGCCUGGCACAGCCUUCUACAGCUGGAGGUGAAAUAACUAAAAAUUGUAACAGGUAUUUUGAGCUCUCUGAGGGGCCAGCUGCAGAGGACACCUCCUAUAUACAGUCAGUACACUUUGUCAGCGGAUUUCUCAUCCUCCCCGCUUCUCUCCACAUGACAGUAGCAGAGAUGGAGGCCGAAGGCCUUUCGAAGCUUGGAGAUCCUUGGCACAGCUGCCAUAUGCUCAGUCUGACUUCCAGCUGCACAGAAGAAAUACUUGUGAAGACAAAGGUGAAAAAGAGAUGGCUAGGUGAGCACCUUCCUAGUCUUCUCGGUGUUUUUAAGUGGCAUAUAUGUCAGCUUCACCUCCUCUGAUCAAUUCAUUGCCCAUCUGGAAGAUGCUAAAGCAAUUCCCCCGUGAUGUUUUACUUUGUAUUAAAGGGAAGAACCGAUGAAGCACAGGAGGAAAGGAGCUAGGGGAGCGCAGGAGGAAAACCUGUGAACACAAAUCUUAUAUGAAGCUGUGCUGAGUUCUCUUUCCUAUCUUCCAAAAGAUUGGGCAGGAACAGAUGGCGACCCCUUCUGCUCUGCUUACAGGCCCUUUUCACUGUACUUAAAAGAGCCUGUAGCUGUGUCCGAAAACAUACGGAAGACAGAACAUAGUGGAAAAUCCUGAACUUUCAGCAUAAAAAGAAUUUAAAAUACAUGCAUACAGGACUCCUCAGUGUGCAGAUCUCACAGAAGUGGCUUGGGUCUUUGCUAUAAAGGAACAGCAAACAGUAGGAAACAGUUCUUUCAAAGUAUUUUUCAGCAGUCAUAGGUACUUCAGCUUUCAUUCCUUUCUUGUCCAGAGCCUGUUUCAAGAAAAUUUCGUACGUGUCCUGGUGGUCAUAGUGUAAAUAGCUAAAAAUAUGAUACACCCUUCACAGGUGAAGAAACAGCUCAUUACACUGAAGAACAAGCAGGCUUAAAGGGGAACGCAGAUCUCAACAGAAAAAAUCUCCAACCUUCCCUCUUCGAUCUCAUAAUCAAUGGCAAGUGGAACAGCGUGGUACAAGUGCAAACAUCGCUGCAGCAACCACAAAAGCAUGGCUGGGGGAAAUCAAAGUUGUGAAUGUAUGAUUAGUGUCACCACACUGAAGGGGUAUGUCAACAGGGCAGCAGAAGAACGGACGAAAAAAAGGAAAGGCUCGUUUCCCUCAACACCCUUUUUGGUUGGGCCUGUAGAAAACACCAGUUCAUUUACUACAAAACCGCUUGCGGUAACCAAAAAAGAGGAACUCUCUUUGUGGUUGAAAAUGGUUUUUGAGCUGUGAAGAUACAAGUUCUCUUUUUUUAAGUAAACCGCAUCGUUUUUCUCUGCAUAGAUCUCAUUUAAGAGAACUGGGUAUAAAUCAUUGCUGAACCAAUGACAAAUAGCAUAUUAACUAUUUUACCCACAAGUUCAUUCACUUCUACUCCCUGUGCACCGAACUUUUAAAAGUUUAGGAAUUGCAGCCUUCUGUGGAGGUAACUGAAUCAUCUGUUAAGUUACAGCUCAGUUCAGGUUCAGUUGCUGUAUUUCCUUUCUCACAGAGAUUUCGUAUGAUCUGUUUUAGGCGGAUAACAGCCUGGAAUAAAGAGAAUCUGGAAUCUGUGUGUUUUUUUUUUUUUUUUCCUCUAUAUUGUAUUUAUAUCCUAUAAUUUUCAGACACAGAAGGACAUGAAGUAGCCACAGAUGUUGCAAAGUAGACAAUUAAUUAGUAAAGCCUCUGCUGACUCCUUAUGAAUAUGGAACUGUAGUGUCAGUAGGAAGAAUCCUCUCCCUUUGUGGGCUGGCUGGCAGAAGAGCGUCCUCGCUGCUAGAGUGAGCAGACUGAAGCCUGAGAACCAAUGCAGUAGGACAAUAAGUUCUUUCAUUUCUUGCACGAAUGCUGUCUUGGGUGCCAGCUAGAACUUUUUCUUUCCCUGUAGUGCCUGUUACUCGUCUUUGUUUGCUGUAUCUUCUCUAGCCCUUGUUUUCAACCUCAGACUGUUUACUUGAGAAUGAAGGAAUGCAAUUUGCGCCCUUCUGUUUUGCUCAGCAGAGGAUAACAUUGAUUUUGCUUUGGAUGUAGAAUUGUAUUUUGAAUAUAUUGAUAUAAGAUACUGAUGUGUUUUUUUGUUUUGUUUUGUUUUUAACUUUGAAAUCAGUUAUAGGAUUCUCUUCACAGGCUCCUCUACAAUUCUUUAAACGCCUGAAGCAUUGGACUGUAUUACUCUCCUUUCCAGGACUGUGUGGAAGAGAGACCAAACUGGAAUGUGAGGCAUCUUCUCUCUCCUCUUAAUACUUCUUUAUUAUGCAAGUAUGUUGAUCAUUGUCUGCAGUAACAGUGGAACAAUUCUGUAGCUGCUCUGCAAAUUAGAAGAAAACGUUUUCUUUCCCCAGUCCAGCUGUCAUCAUAGCUCAUCUUCAAAAUUGUAUACCACAGGGUUUGUUGAAACACUCUUUUUAUUCUCCUUGCCUGGCUUAUACCUUAGUGUGAUUCCUGAGUUUUACACCCAGCAAUAAACAUGAGCGGAGUAUAUGAGUUGAUUUUGAUUUACCUGCAGGUAUUAAAAGGAACUUUCACUCCUUCCUCCAAGUUUCCUGACAGCUUUUAAAUUCAGUGUAAUGAAAUCUCCCUCCAGCCAU